GCAAAUAUAUUAUAGAUAAAUAUAAAAACAAAAAAAAAAUACAAUAGAAAGUUCGAAAAAUUAAAGAGGUGUCAGAAUUAUACUCCGCCAGUACUUAAAAAUCUCCGAGGUAAGAAAAGAAAUACAAACAGACAAAUAAAACUACAAAGAAAUAAUGAGGCACACCAUCACCAAACUAGAGCAUUUCAAAUGCACCACCACGAGAAGAAGAAUAUCCCUCAGGAUGAGUGAAGCAGAGAUCAACCACACGUAAGACAAAGCAACAAGAGCGCUUUCAAUCCUCCUAACCUAUCGUGAUCCAACAGAAUACCCCAACAAACUCUAUAAGUUUUAGCAUAAAGUAUGAUUAUACCUCACCCAUAAAAGUAACGAGGGAUAAAAUAAUUACUUUGAUGUUUCUGUCAAUCAUUAAUAGACAUAUUGUACGAAAUAUUUGUCUUUUUAACUUCUUAGUCAUAUAU
rnacentral:lncRNA from 1 species